CCUGGUCUGUGAUGACUCCUGUGUCUGGAGACUGUUGGAUGAGUCCUGCGGAUAUGGGGCUGAGGCCAGGC
ensembl:snoRNA small nucleolar RNA, C/D box 99